rnacentral:piRNA from 1 species
UGGUACAGCCAUGCCUAGCCUCC